rnacentral:misc_RNA from 1 species
CCAGGCGGAAGCUGGUGGGCCUGUGACUACUCGACCCAGGAAAGCAGUCCGAUGAGGGCAGGGAGUGGCAUAAGAGAGUAAAUUCUCGACAGGCUUCUAGGAUGGUGAGGCUACCUAGGGUAGUGGAAUGCGGGGCACAGGAAUGAAUCGAAUCAUACAUUGAAAUAGGAGAAACUAAUCACUAGAGGUGUCUUUUGGUGGAAUGGCCUGGAGAAUUAGAAGAACUCCAUGGUUAAGCGUGCUCGCUUGAGAAAAAUCCUAGGAUUAGUAACCUCCUGAGAAGUUCUCCAUUCCAC